UACGUAGGGUGCGAGCGUUGUCCGGAAUUAUUGGGCGUAAAGGGCGCGUAGGCGGUUCGGCAAGUCUCUAGUGAAAUCUCUGGGCUCAACUCAGAGUCUGCUGGGGAAACUGCCGGGCUUGAGUAUGGAAGAGGUAUGUGGAACUCCGAGUGUAGAGGUGAAAUUCGUAGAUAUUCGCAAGAACACCAGUGGCGAAGGCGGCCAACUGGUCCGGUACUGACGCUGAGGUGGCGAAAAGCCGUGGGGAGCAAACAGGG
rnacentral:rRNA from 1 species